UUUUAAUGUAGAGCUAAAGGAAUUCGGUGUUUCAGCUAUUUUGCAGUUUUCUGGAAGUUUGUUUCAGAUUUGUGGCGCAUAGAAGUUGAAUGCUAUCUCGUUUUGUUCUGAUAG